GGUGUUGGGUGUUGUUUAAUGUGUCACCACCAUCUGUGUGAGAAACUAACUGAAAUCUUCCUUGUCUCAGUUUAAAACCAUUCCUCCUUGUCCUAUCAGUAUUGGCUCCUGUAAACAGUAAAACACUCUUCUGCUGAAGAUCCCUGCCUACCUGAGGCCUUCCAAAGACAUAUGGCACUUCAUCUUCUUAUCAACACUGGAUUACACAGGAUGCAUAUAUUAGUGGUGAAUGUUUUCCAAAAGUGAUGUCAAGUUAAACUUUGUGAUUUUACCUGCAUUAAAACAAAAAAGUUACUGGAAUCCAAGAUUCAAUCUUCCAAGUGCAAAGAGUAACCCAGCAGAGAUGCUGGGCUCUUCUUUGUGAUGGCCUGGUCUGUAACAGAAUGGCUGAUGUCAAGAAGUUCCUUUGGAGGUCUUCCAGUUGAGGAUGCUGUUGUGGGCAUGGUCAGCUGGAGCAGGACAUUCAAGGCUGCAUCCAGGUGGCUUUUCAGUAUCUACAGAGAUGUAAACUCCAGAAUAUCUCUGAACAACCUCUGCCAGUGUUUAAUCACCCUUAGAGUAAAGAACACAGCUUUAUCUUAUGUUUAAAUUGAACUCUAUGUAUUUCAAUUUGUGUCCACUGUCUCUUGUCAAGGUGGAUUGGCCUCAACUUCACUCUAGACUCCUCUAUAUACCCUUUAUAUUGUUGCAGGUUACACUUGGUCCCUUCAAGGAGUCAAUACAGGGGCAGCUGUGGUCAGAAUUGAGUGAUUUCUCUCCAGUGCUUUCCAAUCGUCCAAUGUUUUUUGCCAUUUCAUAAAUAUGUUUUCACUGAGUCUGUCAUAUUGGCUAAUGUGCUUAGCUGCAUCCUGCACUGGGUCCAUUUUGGUGUCAGCAAAACAGGCUGUAUCUAGUGUAGGCAACAACUGUCUUCUCAGAAAGCUAUCCCUGUACUCUCAAACUACCAACA